rnacentral:lncRNA from 1 species
AGAGGCUGAUCCCUCACUCCAGGGAGACCUGCAGUGGUGCCAUACUCGCAGACUCCAGCAUGCCGGCUUAGCUCAGGACUGUCGGGUUGAACCAAAUGCCACCAUUUCCUACCUCUAGAGAACCAGAACCGGGGUGGCAGAGCAACCCUACUAUCAGCUGGGCUACGCUAGCACUUCCAGGCUGCUGCUGCCUCCCUCUCUGACCUCGGCCAGACUCUCUUCACUAAGGAUUGACCGAGACCUUGCAUCUGGCCUCUUCUUCCUUCUUCUCUCCUGGACCUUCAUUGGCAGAGAGUCACCUCUCCAGCCUGUGGGGCUUGACCACUGAGGAGGCAGAUGAAAUCUGCACGCUUCUCCCUUGUCUGUCGCCACCAGAGACACCAGUGCCAAAUUCAUCUGCAUAUUCUAACCAGCCAAUAUUCAUAUCCUGAGAGAUCUGAGAGAUUCGUACGUGUGGCAUCAGGCCAGCCGCAGAUGCUGUUGCUUUCCCUCCGUGACAACACAUUUUUGAAUGCUCUGCCUCAUUUGCCGGGCAGGGCAGGAAGGUUCUCUGGGACAUGCAGAAAGAACGCUGCAGGGAGAGAUGGGGGGCUCCACUUGGUUAAGGCAAAUACUCUGUCAAGGAGUUUUGACUUGCAAAAGGUUUUGAUUAGAACUAUAUAUGUAUUUAUGCCUACUUGCAAAGUUAAAAUAAAUAAAACCCCAUUCGCAUCAGUAGAUGCAGAUUCUGA